UCCCAGAUAGCUCAGUUAGUAAAGAAUCUGCCUACAAUGUAGGAGACCCUGGUUCAAUUCCGGGGUUGGGAA
rnacentral:tRNA from 1 species